AUUGAACGCUGGCGGUAUGCCUUACACAUGCAAGUCGAACGGUAGAGGGGCAACCCUUGAGAGUGGCGAACGGGUGAGUAAUACAUCGGAACGUGCCCAGUCGUGGGGGAUAACGUAGCGAAAGCUACGCUAAUACCGCAUACGACCUGAGGGGGAAAGCGGGGGAUCGCAAGACCUCGCGCGAUCGGACCGGCCGAUGGCAGAUUAGGUAGUUGGUGGGGUAAAGGCCUACCAAGCCUGCGAACUGCAGCUGGUCUGAGAGGACGACCAGCCACACUGGGACUGAGACACGGCCCAGACUCCUACGGGAGGCAGCAGUGGGGAAUUUUGGACAAUGGGCGAAAGCCUGAUCCAGCCAUACCGCGUGCGGGAAGAAGGCCUUCGGGUUGUAAACCGCUUUUGUCAGGGAAGAAAUCUUCUGGGUUAAUACCUCGGGAGGAUGACGGUACCUGAAGAAUAAGCACCGGCUAACUACGUGCCAGCCGCCGCCGUAA
rnacentral:rRNA from 1 species